CACGUAGUUAGCCGGGGCUUCUUAGUCAGGUACCGUCCAAAGUCCUGUGGACUUUUUUCUUCCCUGCUGAUAGAGCUUUACGUACCGAAAUACUUCUUCACUCACGCGGCGUCGCUGCAUCAGGGUUUCCCCCAUUGUGCAAUAUCCCCCACUGCUGCCUCCCGUAGGAGUCUGGGCCGUGUCUCAGUCCCAAUGUGGCCGUUCACCCUCUCAGGCCGGCUACUGAUCGUCGCCUUGGUGGGCUUUUACCUCACCAACUAGCUAAUCAGACGCGGAACCAUCGUAUACCACCGGAGUUUUUCACACUGCUUCAUGCGAAGCUGUGCGCUUAUGCGGUAUUAGCACCUAUUUCUAAGUGUUAUCCCCCAGUAUACGGCAGGUUUUCCACGCGUUACUCACCCGUCCGCCACUAACUUAUAAUUCACUAGGUUUCGUUAUAAGUCCGUUCGACUUGCAUGUGUUAAGCACGCCGCCAGCGUUCAUCCUGAGCCAGGAUCAAACUCU
rnacentral:rRNA from 1 species